rnacentral:rRNA from 1 species
CCUACGGGAGGCAGCCGUGAGUAAUAUUGGUCAAUGGACGCAAGUCUGAACCCGCCAUGCCGCGUGCAGGAAGACUGCUCUAUUAGUUGUAAACUGCUUUUGUACGAGGGUAAACGCAGAUACGCGUAUCUGUCUGAAAGUAUCGUACGACUAAGGAUCGGCUAACUCCGUGCCAGCAGCCGUGGUAAUACGGAGGAUUCAAGCGUUAUCCGGAUUUAUUGGGUUUAAAGGGUGCGUAGGCGGUCGGAUAAGUUAGAGGUGAAAUCCCGAGGCUCAACUUCGGAAUUGCCUCUGAUACUGUUCGUCUAGAGAGUAGUUGCGGUAGGCGGAAUGUAUGGUGUAGCGGUGAAAUGCUUAGAGAUCACACAGAACACCGAUUGCGAAGGCAGCUUACCAAGCUACUUCUGACGUUGAGGCACGAAAGCGUGGGGAGCAAACAGGAUUAGAUACCCUUGUAGUC